AUACGAGGGGUGCAAGCGUUGUUCGGAAUUACUGGGCGUAAAGGGAGCGUAGGCGGAGAUUCAAGCGGAUUGUACAAUCCCGGGGCCCAACCCCGGCUCUGCAGUCCGAACUGGAUCUCUUGGAUAGUUCAGGGGCAGGCGGAAUUCCUGGUGUAGCGGUGGAAUGCGUAGAGAUCAGGAAGAACACCGAUGGCGGAGGCAGCCUGCUGGGGACUUAUCGACGCUGAGGCUCGAAAGUGCGGGUAGCAAACAGGAUUAGAUACCCUGGUAGUCCGCACCGUAAACGAUGCAUACUGGGUGUCCGGGGGUUCCCCCGGGUACCGUAGCCAACGCGUUAAGUAUGCCGCCUGGGGAGUACGUACGCAAGUAUGAAACUCAAAGGAAUUGACGGGG
rnacentral:rRNA from 1 species